rnacentral:lncRNA from 1 species
UUUUUUUUUAAUUUUUAUGGCUGUACCUGCAACAUAUGUAAAUUCCCAGGUAAGGGGUCGAAUUGGAGCUGGAGAUGCUGGCCUACACCACAGCCACAGCAAUGCCAAAUCCCAGCCACAUCUGAGACCUACACCACAGCUCACGGUAACACCAGAUCCUUAACUCGCUGAGCGAGGCCAGGGAUCAAACCCAUAUCCUCAUGGAUACUAGACGGGCUUGUAACCUCUGAGACACAAUGGGAACUCCCUAAAUUUCUAAUCCCCAUUCCAAAUGUCAUUAUUCUGCAAAAGCCGGGAAGAAUUGAAUAUCUUGUUUAGGAAGUUGCAAAGUGCCUUUCUCCACUGAAAUUCACAGCAAUAAAUGUGGCUUUGGGUUGGCUUGAGUGGACAACAGCUAGAGACAGAGAAGAAAUCCAAAAACCACCUAUGACAGGACAUUGUUUCCUUGCAUGCAAGUGUGGCAGAUCAGGCAAGGCCAGACUUCUCCAGUCUUUGUAUUUGGUGCCAUAAAGCAAACCAUGAGUUAUUCAGGGGAAAAAAAAAUGUUUUGCAAAGCGUAACUACUUAACAGAAGAAAGUUAAACUGAUAAAUUAUUAAGAAGUUUGAAGCAUACAUAUUGUAUUCUCAGAAACUUUAUAGUCCUUAACAUUUUGACCAUGCAACAUUCAAUUGCAAAUAAUUAAUUUGAAGAGAAAUGGAUGUAAUUUUAGAUAACAGUUGGCAAAAUGUUUUAUUGUAAAAUUUGUAAAUAGAAUAAUACAUGUUAGGGAGAAUAUUUGACCUAGAGUGGAGACAAUGAGCAUGAAAAUAAGGAUUUCUCUUAUCUGUAAGCCCAGAAGGAAUUUUUCCUCUUUCAAUUAAAUAAUCAGGGGCAGGAGCGGGUAGCGUGAGGAGGACAAUAUCCCAGUUCAUCAGACUCCUGCAGCCCAUCAGAAACAUCUUUUAGCUUUAUAAUCUCAACAUCCAUUAACUAAUAAUCAAUCCAUUAAUUAAUAAUUAAUACAUUAAUCAAUAAUUGAUCCAUUAAUUAAUGUCUUUAGCUUUAUAAUAUCAACAUCCAUUAAUUAAUACAUUAUUUAAUAAAUUAAUCUAAUCAUAACAAUAAUGAAUAUCCUGCAUUGUGUCCUUCUAUGUGCUUGCUGUGCUUUGAGACUUUUAUGUAGUUUUAUUUAAUUUAAUCAUCACAAUAACCUCAUGACAAAAGUAUUAUCGUGCCUUGUACUGGAUCAGAAAAUCCCCCCUAAAUUUAUGUUUUUCCCAGACCUUCAUUAAUGGGAUCUUAUUUGGAAAUAGGGUUGUUGCAAAUGUAAUUAAUUAAGAUGAGGUCAUACUGAAAUAAGGUGGGCCCUUUGUGAUGGGUGCCCUUUUAAGACUAGGGAAGAGGAGUUCUCACCGAGGUGCAGCAGAAAUGAAUCUGGCUAGCAUCCAUGAGGUUGCAGGUUCGAUCUCUCGCAUUUCUCAAUGGGUUAAGGAUCUGGCAUUGCCGUGAACUGUGGGAAUAGAUUUCUGUUGUUUCAAGCCACCCACUUUAUGGUAAUUUUGUUGUUGCAGCCCUAGGAAACUCAUAUAGACUUUAGUAAUAUGCCAUGUUCAUGAUUAUUAUGUUGAACAAACAGUUUCAAAGGGUAUCAAUAAUAGAAUAGUUCAGAAAAUAACUCAUCAAUUAGCUAAUAUUUGAACAGACAAUUGCAUGAUUAGGUUACCGAAGGGAGAAUAAAAUAGAAGAUUGCUAAAUGCAAAAUGGACUGACUCUACAAGACAUUUAUUGUGCAUGAAAGGGGGGAAAUGACAAUUCUGAGAAAAGGUACCUUAUAUGGUGUGUCCCAGUACUCUUUAAAUAGGCCUCUUUUCUGUCUCCUUCUCCUUCUGGGAAUACAUAGACAAGAGAAGUAUUAAGAAUGAUACAAAAUUAAAGAAUAGGAAAAAAAAUGUUUCUUUUCAUAAGAAGAACUCCUAGAAUUUACUCUCUUAAUAACUUACAUAUAUAGCAUAGGGCAGUGUUAAUUAUACUUAUCAGGUUGUAUGUUACAUCCCUGGUACUCAUUUGUGAUACAGCAAGAAGAUGAAGUUUAGAGUCAGGUGAUCUGUGUUUAACUUGUGUUCUGCAACUUACUAGUUAGAGGCAACUCUAAAGUUCAGUCCCCUCGCCUGUGGAAUAAAGAUGGUAAACAUAUUCCUGUCUGGUUUGCUUGAUUCAGGCAUUUUCCAAGGAGGCAGAAUGUUCGGUGCUGAAAUGGGGCCAGUCCCAGGCAAACCCAGACAUUCUAUUGGCUGUAAACCUCAAAGCUGACAACAAAUAUGAAAGUAAGUGCCUAACAUUUGCUCUCUAAAUAUUAAAUUUCUUCCUACAGACUCAAGGGUCAAUCGCUAGACUGUUUUGGCCUCUGUCUCAUCAACCAGUGCUUGCACCUCCUCUAGCCAUUCUGGUCUCUGACUGGAAACAAAACGGGUUGUCUCCAAAUGCCUGGGGCACACAGGCUCCUCGGGGUGGGUGUGAGGGAAAAUGUCUGUUUCCUUCUGGACACUGUGGUUUAUUUUGGCUUCUCUCUGCAUCAACACAUCUGAAGCUGAAGUAGCAGGAUGAUUUUUAAAUGCUUGCUCAGACAGAGUUCGGAAGGUCACUGUUUAAGCCCUUGGGUCAUUUUACCAGAUGUUUCCAUUCUAAGUAAUGACCACCACUGUUACUAGUGACAAGGUAGAAAGAACAAGGGCUUUGUGCUUUGUGGUGUUUCUCUAUAAUUAUGCAUUCAAGUCCACUAAUCAUCUUUUUACCACAUUUAACCAAGUGGGACAAUAUCGUCUACAGUUCAAUUUAGCUAUUCAUGUAAAAGUGAUGCAUUUUCAUGAAGCUAAAUCCAUCAUGUCCAACAUCUGUGACCCUCCAGAGGUCUGUCCUGUCACUCAUUCUCGCUUAGCCAUGUUCCCCGUGUUCCCAUGCACUCCUGCUGUCAUAUCUGCCCUCCGUGCAUUUUGUAUCAAUGAAGGUGAAGCAGGAGAAAAAUCCUCAGGGUCACUAACAUCCUGGGUUCUUGCCUCAAUUUGCCAGAUUCUGAUCAAGGAAAGACUGAUGGCAGCCCGUGAUAGAGAGAAAGGAAUAAUGACAGUUUCAUGUUUCAAUUUAAUUAGACAAAUGCUUCUUCUAUCCUUUAUUUGGAAAGAUUAGCACUAAAUGGCAUCAAACACUAAAGAUGAAUAAAACACAAUCCCUGCCAUUACAAAUAGAAAGGAAGACAAGCAUGGAAAUGACUAAACUACAAAGCAGGCUGCGAGGUGCAGCAGAUGAAAAGUGCAGUGCGAUCCCUGAUGGUGACAGUGAAUCUAUUUGCAGGGCUGAAGAAGCAAAGCCAUCCCAGAGGGGAUGUGUGUCCCACACCUUGAGGGACAAGCUGAGAAACCUACUGGAAACCUGUCAAUAGUCAUGCACGAGCGUGUGUGUGUGUGUGUGUGUGUGUGUGUGUGUAAAUAUUACUGGGGGAAAAGAGUGGAGAUGGACGUCUUCAUUCACUCAACAAAUACUGAGUAAGUGUCUCCAGUGUGUCAGACAUUCAAAGUGUAGACAUCAAUAUUUGGUUCCUUCUUUCCUUAAGACAACAUUUUAGUUGGAUCACAAGUGUAAGAAAUAAUUCCAACUCAAUAGGACUACAACUAAGAUUGCAACAGAUACCUAGACCAGUGAGUUGAUGAGCACAGGACAGCUAGGAAGGAAUAGUAAACUGAGAACAUCCUGGAAAAUUCCAAAGUGUGCUACAAGACAGUAAAAGAUAGGAAACUUUAGUAGAGACCCUGUGGCCACCUGCUCUCCAAGGAAGCCCCUCCCAGCUCCUUCUUUCUCAACAAUUUGUAAUAAGGCACCCACAUUACUUGUUUCAGAGGAUAUACAACCAUUUAAAAUCAGACU